rnacentral:rRNA from 1 species
UACGAAGGGGGCUAGCGUUGUUCGGAAUCACUGGGCGUAAAGCGCACGUAGGCGGAUCUUUAAGUCAGGGGUGAAAUCCCGAGGCUCAACCUCGGAACUGCCUUUGAUACUGGGGAUCUCGAGUCCGGGAGAGGUGAGUGGAACUGGCGAGUGUAGAGGUGAAAUUCGUAGAUAUUCGCAAGAACACCAGUGGCGAAGGCGGCUCACUGGCCCGGAACUGACGCUGAGGUGCGAAAGCGUGGGGAGCAA